UACGUAGGGUGCGAGCGUUAAUCGGAAUUACUGGGCGUAAAGCGUGCGCAGGCGGUUUUGUAAGCCAGAUGUGAAAUCCCCAGGCUCAACCUGGGAACUGCGUCCGAUACUGGCAGGCUUGAAUCCGGGAGAGGGAUGUGGAAUUCCAGGUGUAGCGGUGAAAUGCGUAGAUAUCUGGAGGAACACCGGUGGCGAAGGCGGCAUCCUGGACCAACACUGACGCUGAGGAGCGAAAGCCAGGGGAGCAAAACGGGG
rnacentral:rRNA from 1 species